CGUAGGUGAACCUGCGGAAGGAUCAUUACCGAGUGAGGGCCCUCUGGGUCCAACCUCCCACCCGUGUUUAUUUUACCUUGUUGCUUCGGCGGGCCCGCCUUAACUGGCCGCCGGGGGGCUUACGCCCCCGGGCCCGCGCCCGCCGAAGACACCCUCGAACUCUGUCUGAAGAUUGUAGUCUGAGUGAAAAUAUAAAUUAUUUAAAACUUUCAACAACGGAUCUCUUGGUUCCGGCAUCGAUGAAGAACGCAGCGAAAUGCGAUACGUAAUGUGAAUUGCAAAUUCAGUGAAUCAUCGAGUCUUUGAACGCACAUUGCGCCCCCUGGUAUUCCGGGGGGCAUGCCUGUCCGAGCGUCAUUGCUGCCCUCAAGCACGGCUUGUGUGUUGGGCCCCGUCCUCCGAUCCCGGGGGACGGGCCCGAAAGGCAGCGGCGGCACCGCGUCCGGUCCUCGAGCGUAUGGGGCUUUGUCACCCGCUCUGUAGAAGCGGCCGGCGCUUGCCGAUCAACCAAAAAUUUUAUCCAGGUUGACCUCGGAUCAG
rnacentral:rRNA from 1 species